UGGGGAAUAUUUGACAAUGGGCGCAAGCCUGAUCCAGCCAUGCCGCGUGUGUGAAGAAGGCCUUUUGGUUGUAAAGCACUUUAAGCGAGGAGGAGGCUACUUGGAUUAAUACCCUAAGAUAGUGGACGUUACUCGCAGAAUAAGCACCGGCUAACUCUGUGCCAGCAGCCGUGGUAAUACAGAGGGUGCGAGCGUUAAUCGGAUUUACUGGGCGUAAAGCGUGCGUAGGCGGCUUCUUAAGUCGGAUGUGAAAUCCCUGAGCUUAACUUAGGAAUUGCAUUCUAUACUGGGAAGCUAGAGUAUGGGAGAGGAUGGUAGAAUUCCAGGUGUAGCGGUGAAAUGCGUAGAGAUCUGGAGGAAUACCGAUGGCGAAGGCAGCCAUCUGGCCUAAUACUGACGCUGAGGUACGAAAGCAUGGGGAGCAAACAGG
rnacentral:rRNA from 1 species